ACGAACGCUGGCGGCGCGCCUAACACAUGCAAGUCGCACGAGCGAGAGAGAGCUUGCUUUCUUGAGCGAGUGGCGAACGGGUGAGUAACGCGUGAGGAACCUGCCUCAAAGAGGGGGACAACAGUUGGAAACGACUGCUAAUACCGCAUAAGCCCACGGUGCCGCAUGGCACAGAGGGAAAAGGAGCAAUCCGCUUUGAGAUGGCCUCGCGUCCGAUUAGCUAGUUGGUGAGGUAACGGCCCACCAAGGCGACGAUCGGUAGCCGGACUGAGAGGUUGAACGGCCACAUUGGGACUGAGACACGGCCCAGACUCCUACGGGAGGCAGCAGUGGGGAAUAUUGCACAAUGGGGGAAACCCUGAUGCAGCGACGCCGCGUGGAGGAAGAAGGUCUUCGGAUUGUAAACUCCUGUUGUUGGGGAAGAUAAUGACGGUACCCAACAAGGAAGUGACGGCUAACUACGUG
rnacentral:rRNA from 1 species